UGCGAGCGAACAGGGAAGAGCCCAGCACCGAAUCCCGCGGCCGAUAUCGGACGCCGGGAAAUGUGGUGUUAGGGAGGAUCCGUUUAUCCCGAGGUCGUGCGGUGCGUCCAAGUCCUUCUUGAACGGGGCCACAGCCCAUAGAGGGUGCCAGGCCCGUAGCGACCGCUGCCGAUCGCGGGAGGAUCUCUCCUCAGAGUCGGGUUGCUUGAGAGUGCAGCCCUAAGUGGGUGGUAAACUCCAUCUAAGGCUAAAUAUGACCACGAGACCGAUAGCGAACAAGUACCGUGAGGGAAAGUUGAAAAGCACUUUGAAGAGAGAGUUCAAGAGUACGUGAAACCGUUCAGGGGUAAACCUGAGAAGCCCGAAAGGUCGAAUGGGGAAAUUCAUUCGCGUUUCGGCCGUCGGCGUGGUACGGUCGAGUGACGGACGGCGUACGCGUCGUCCGCGCCUUUCGUUCUUCGAACCGGCGUCGAACGCGUGCACUUUUCCCCUAGUAGGACGUCGCGAUCCGUUGGGUGUCGGUCUACGGCUCGCGGUGGAGCCCGUGCGGUCGCUACCCUGUGUAUCGCACGGACCCGCGGUGUCCCGGCCGACUCGCUCGACGGUAUACAGAUGGCGCGGGGCCGCUACUUCAGUUAGCGUUCGGC
rnacentral:rRNA from 1 species